rnacentral:rRNA from 1 species
AGAGUUUGAUCCUGGCUCAGAAUCAACGCUGGCGGCGUGCCUCAGACAUGCAAGUCGAACGCGAAAGCUCCCUUCGGGGAGCAAGUAGAGUGGCGCACGGGUGAGUAACACGUAGGUAAUCUACCUUUGGAUGGGGAAUAACAACCGGAAACGGUUGCUAAUACCGCAUAAUGCAGCGGCACCUAAUGGUGACAGUUGUUAAAGCGGGGGAUCGCAAGACCUCGCGUCUGAAGAGGAGCCUGCGGCAGAUUAGCUAGUUGGUAAGGUAACGGCUUACCAAGGCGAUGAUCUGUAGCCGGCCUGAGAGGGCGGUCGGCCACACUGACACUGACAUACGGGUCAGACUCCUACGGGAGGCAGCAGUCGGGAAUUUUGGGCAAUGGGCGAAAGCCUGACCCAGCAACGCCGCGUGAAGGAUGAAAUCCCUCGGGAUGUAAACUUCGCAAGAACGGGAAGAAUAAGUAAGAGCUAACAUCUCUUACGAUGACGGUACUGUUUGUAAGCUCCGGCUAACUCCGUGCCAGCAGCCGCGGUAAUACGGGGGGAGCAAGCGUUGUUCGGAUUUACUGGGCGUAAAGGGCGCGUAGGCGGCCACCGCAAGUCGACUGUGAAAUCUCUGGGCUUAACCCAGAACGGUCAGCCGAUACUGCGGGGCUAGAGUGCAGAAGGGGCAACUGGAAUUCUCGGUGUAGCGGUGAAAUGCGUAGAUAUCGAGAGGAACACCUGCGGCGAAAGCGGGUUGCUGGGCUGACACUGACGCUGAGGCGCGAAAGCUAGGGGAGCGAACGGGAUUAGAUACCCCGGUAGUCCUAGCCUUAAACGAUGAAUGCUUGGUGUCUGGGGUUUUAUAGUCCCCGGGUGCCGUCGCUAACGCUUUAAGCAUUCCGCCUGGGGAGUACGGUCGCAGACUGAAACUCAAAGGAAUUGACGGGGACCCGCACAAGCGGUGGAGCAUGGUGGUUUAAUUCGA